UACGAAGGGUGCAAACGUUGCUCGGAAUUAUUGGGCGUAAAGCGCACGUAGGCGGCAUUGCAAGUCGGAUGUGAAAUCUUAUGGCUUGACCAUAAAAGUGCAUCCGAAACUGCAGUGCUUGAGUACUUAAGAGGAUCGCGGAAUUCCCGGUGUAGAGGUGAAAUUCGCAGAUAUCAGGAAGAACACCAAUGGCGAAGGCAGCUCUCUGGGAGCGGUACUGACGCUGAGACGCGAAAGCGUGGGGAGCGAACAGG
rnacentral:rRNA from 1 species